GACGAACGCUGGCGGCGUGCCUAAUACAUGCAAGUUGAGCGCUGAAGGUUGGUACUUGUACCAACUGGAUGAGCAGCGAACGGGUGAGUAACGCGUGGGGAAUCUGCCUUUGAGCGGGGGACAACAUUUGGAAACGAAUGCUAAUACCGCAUAAAAACUUUAAACACAAGUUUUAAGUUUGAAAGAUGCAAUUGCAUCACUCAAAGAUGAUCCCGCGUUGUAUUAGCUAGUUGGUGAGGUAAAGGCUCACCAAGGCGAUGAUACAUAGCCGACCUGAGAGGGUGAUCGGCCAAAUUGGGACUGAGACACGGCCCAAACUCCUACGGGAGGCAGCAGUAGGGAAUCUUCGGCAAUGGACGAAAGUCUGACCGAGCAACGCCGCGUGAGUGAAGAAGGUUGUCGGAUCGUAAAACUCUGUUGGUAGAGAAGAACGUUGGUGAGAGUGGAAAGCUCAUCAAGUGACGGUAACUACCCAGAAAGGGACGGCUAACUACGUG
rnacentral:rRNA from 1 species